CACACCUGCUCAAGUGUGCGUC
rnacentral:rRNA from 1 species